rnacentral:rRNA from 1 species
AGGUAAGCUACUAAGAGCGAAUGGUGGAUGCCUUGACUGGUAAAGGCGAUGAAGGACGUACUAGACUGCGAUAAGCUACGGGGAGCUGUCAAGAAGCUUUGAUCCGUAGAUUUCCGAAUGGGGCAACCCAAUGUAUAGAGAUAUACAUUACCUAUAUAGGAGCGAACGAGGGGAAUUGAAACAUCUUAGUACCCUCAGGAAAAGAAAUCAAUAGAGAUUGCGUCAGUAGCGGCGAGCGAAAGCGCAAGAGGGCAAACCCAGUGCUUGCACUGGGGGUUGUAGGACUGCAAUGUGCAAGAGGUGAGUUUAGCAGAACAUUCUGGAAAGUAUAGCCAUAGAGGGUGAUAGUCCCGUAUGCGAAAAACAAACUUUAGCUAGCAGUAUCCUGAGUAGGGCGGGACACGAGGAAUCCUGUCUGAAUCCGGGUCGACCACGAUCCAACCCUAAAUACUAAUACCAGAUCGAUAGUGCACAAGUACCGUGAGGGAAAGGUGAAAAGAACUGAGGUGAUCAGAGUGAAAUAGAACCUGAAACCAUUUGCUUACAAUCAUUCAGAGCACUAUGUAGCAAUACAGUGUGAUGGACUGCCUUUUGCAUAAUGAGCCUGCGAGUUGUGGUGUCUGGCAAGGUUAAGCAAACGCGAAGCCGUAGCGAAAGCGAGUCUGAAUAGGGCGCUUAGUCAGAUGCUGCAGACCCGAAACGAAGUGAUCUAUCCAUGAGCAAGUUGAAGCUAGUGUAAGAACUAGUGGAGGACUGAACCCAUAGGCGUUGAAAAGCCCCGGGAUGACUUGUGGAUAGGGGUGAAAGGCCAAUCAAACUUCGUGAUAGCUGGUUCUCUCCGAAAUAUAUUUAGGUAUAGCGUUGUGUCGUAAUAUAAGGGGGUAGAGCACUGAAUGGGCUAGGGCAUACACCAAUGUACCAAACCCUAUCAAACUCCGAAUACCUUAUAUGUAAUCACAGCAGUCAGGCGGCGAGUGAUAAAAUCCGUCGUCAAGAGGGAAACAACCCAGACUACCAGCUAAGGUCCCUAAAUCUUACUUAAGUGGAAAACGAUGUGAAGUUACUUAAACAACCAGGAGGUUGGCUUAGAAGCAGCCAUCCUUUAAAGAAAGCGUAAUAGCUCACUGGUCUAGUGAUUUUGCGCGGAAAAUAUAACGGGGCUAAAGUAAGUACCGAAGCUGUAGACUUGACUUUGUCAAGUGGUAGGAGAGCGUUCUAUUUGCGUCGAAGGUAUACCGGUAAGGAGUGCUGGAGCGAAUAGAAGUGAGCAUGCAGGCAUGAGUAGCGAUAAUUAAUGUGAGAAUCAUUAACGCCGUAAACCCAAGGUUUCCUACGCGAUGCUCGUCAUCGUAGGGUUAGUCGGGUCCUAAGUCGAGUCCGAAAGGGGUAGACGAUGGCAAAUUGGUUAAUAUUCCAAUACCAACAUUAGUGUGCGAUGGAAGGACGCUUAGGGCUAAGGGGGCUAGCGGAUGGAAGUGCUAGUCUAAGGUCGUAGGAGGUUAUACAGGCAAAUCCGUAUAACAUACUCCGAGAACUGAAAGGCUUUUUGAAGUCUUCGGAUGGAUAGAAGAACCCCUGAUGCCGUCGAGCCAAGAAAAGUUUCUAAGUUUAGCUAAUGUUGCCCGUACCGUAAACCGACACAGGUGGGUGGGAUGAGUAUUCUAAGGCGCGUGGAAGAACUCUCUUUAAGGAACUCUGCAAAAUAGCACCGUAUCUUCGGUAUAAGGUGUGGUUAGCUUCGUACUAGGAUUUACUCCGAAAGCGAAGAAACUUACAACAAAGAGUCCCUCCCGACUGUUUACCAAAAACACAGCACUCUGCUAACUCGUAAGAGGAUGUAUAGGGUGUGACGCCUGCCCGGUGCUCGAAGGUUAAUUGAUGGGGUUAGCAUUAGCGAAGCUCUUGAUCGAAGCCCGAGUAAACGGCGGCCGUAACUAUAACGGUCCUAAGGUAGCGAAAUUCCUUGUCGGUUAAAUACCGACCUGCAUGAAUGGCGUAACGAGAUGGGAGCUGUCUCAAAGAGGGAUCCAGUGAAAUUGUAGUGGAGGUGAAAAUUCCUCCUACCCGCGGCAAGACGGAAAGACCCCGUGGACCUUUACUACAGCUUGACACUGCUAUUUGGAUAAGAAUGUGCAGGAUAGGUGGGAGGCUUUGAGUAUAUGACGCUAGUUGUAUAGGAGCCAUUGUUGAGAUACCACUCUUUCUUAUUUGGGUAGCUAACCAGCUUGAGUUAUCCUCAAGUGGGACAAUGUCUGGUGGGUAGUUUGACUGGGGCGGUCGCCUCCCAAAUAAUAACGGAGGCUUACAAAGGUUGGCUCAGAACGGUUGGAAAUCGUUCGUAGAGUAUAAAGGUAUAAGCCAGCUUAACUGCAAGACAUACAAGUCAAGCAGAGACGAAAGUCGGUCUUAGUGAUCCGGUGGUUCUGUGUGGAAGGGCCAUCGCUCAAAGGAUAAAAGGUACCCCGGGGAUAACAGGCUGAUCUCCCCCAAGAGCUCACAUCGACGGGGAGGUUUGGCACCUCGAUGUCGGCUCAUCGCAUCCUGGGGCUGGAGCAGGUCCCAAGGGUAUGGCUGUUCGCCAUUUAAAGCGGUACGCGAGCUGGGUUCAGAACGUCGUGAGACAGUUCGGUCCCUAUCUGCCGUGGGCGUAAGAAGAUUGAAGAGAUUUGACCCUAGUACGAGAGGACCGGGUUGAACAAACCACUGGUGUAGCUGUUGUUCUGCCAAGAGCAUCGCAGCGUAGCUAAGUUUGGAAAGGAUAAACGCUGAAAGCAUCUAAGCGUGAAGCCAACUCUAAGAUGAAUCUUCUCUAAGCUCUCUAGAAGACUACUAGUUUGAUAGGCUGGGUGUGUAAUGGAUGAAAGUCUUUUAGCUGACCAGUACUAAUAGAGCGUUUGGCUUAUCUUU